CUGCGGCAGCGACACUUAUGCGUUGUUGGGUAGGGGAGCGUUCUGUAAGCCUGCGAAGGUGGCCUGUGAGGGUUGCUGGAGGUAUCAGAAGUGCGAAUGCUGACAUAAGUAACGAUAAAGCGGGUGAAAAGCCCGCUCGCCGGAAGACCAAGGGUUCCUGUCCAACGUUAAUCGGGGCAGGGUGAGUCGACCCCUAAGGCGAGGCCGAAAGGCGUAGUCGAUGGGAAACGGGUUAAUAUUCCCGUACUUGGUGUUACUGCGAAGGGGGGACGGAGAAGGCUAUGUUGGCCGGGCGACGGUUGUCCCGGUUUAAGCGUGUAGGUGUGUGUUCCAGGUAAAUCCGGUUCACUUUAACACUGAGGCGUGACGACGAGGCACUACGGUGCUGAAGCAACAAAUGCCCUGCUUCCAGGAAAAGCCUCUAAGCAUCAGGUAACAUCAAAUCGUACCCCAAACCGACACAGGUGGUCAGGUAGAGAAUACCAAGGCGCUUGAGAGAACUCGGGUGAAGGAACUAGGCAAAAUGGUGCCGUAACUUCGGGAGAAGGCACGCUGACACGUAGGUGAAGUGAUUUACUCAUGGAGCUGAAGUCAGUCGAAGAUACCAGCUGGCUGCAACUGUUUAUUAAAAACACAGCACUGUGCAAACACGAAAGUGGACGUAUACGGUGUGACGCCUGCCCGGUGCCGGAAGGUUAAUUGAUGGGGUCAGCGCAAGCGAAGCUCCUGAUCGAAGCCCCGGUAAACGGCGGCCGUAACUAUAACGGUCCUAAGGUAGCGAAAUUCCUUGUCGGGUAAGUUCCGACCUGCACGAAUGGCGUAAUGAUGGCCAGGCUGUCUCCACCCGAGACUCAGUGAAAUUGAACUCGCUGUGAAGAUGCAGUGUACCCGCGGCAAGACGGAAAGACCCCGUGAACCUUUACUAUAGCUUGACACUGAACAUUGAGCCUUGAUGUGUAGGAUAGGUGGGAGGCUUUGAAGUGUGGACGCCAGUCUGCAUGGAGCCGACCUUGAAAUACCACCCUUUAAUGUUUGAUGUUCUAACGUGGACCCGUUACCCGGGUUGCGGACAGUGUCUGGUGGGUAGUUUGACUGGGGCGGUCUCCUCCUAAAGAGUAACGGAGGAGCACGAAGGUUGGCUAAUCCUGGUCGGACAUCAGGAGGUUAGUGCAAUGGCAUAAGCCAGCUUGACUGCGAGCGUGACGGCGCGAGCAGGUGCGAAAGCAGGUCAUAGUGAUCC
rnacentral:rRNA from 1 species